AAGAAAUAUAGCCCGAUACAUGAUGAAUUAAUUUCAUAAUUAUGUUUUUAUUGUUUCUUUCACGUACCAUAAGAAUUUAUUACACUUUGUACAUAACAUACAACGAAUCGCUACGCAAUAAAAUGAUUUAAUUAAUUGUGAAUUAAACUUUGCAAUUAAAAUCUUGAACACAGCAAAAGAAGAAAGUUAGAGUUCCAUUCAGAUCGCAAAAAAUAAAAAUUCUAACCCUAAUUCUAUUUUCAUCCCAGACUUUUUCCCCGAAUUUCUUUAAAUCGAAUCAUUAAUCACAAUGUCUCUAUCAAUACGAGAGAGUAUAAUCAGUAUCGGAUCUCGAAUGCUCCAAAGACACAUAGAGGAAGACAUACAUUACGAUAUAAUGACCAUCGACGAGUUGCAGGAGAUGCAAGAAAAUCUGUUGCAGCAAAUCUGGAUGUUGACUUUAGAGAACGAUAUUUACGAACGAUACUUGACACGCCAGGAUCCCCACAGUCUAAAAGUGAUAAAGGCUAUACUGGAGAGAGAGAAGAUCACUCGAAGAAUGACAGCGCACUUGAUACCAAGAGCAUUAUCGCAUGUAAGCUUUCGGGAGAGUUUAUUCAAUUUACACGAUCCGGGAAGGCUAAGUCCCACCGUGCGCAGUAUAUCUGGUUCCCGAUCACCAUCCAUAACACGAUUUAGAACGCCAAGUGUCGUAACGUUGACCGAAGGAGCAAAAAUCCCGAUACCGCAUCGUAUAGUAAUGGCGAAGAAGGAAGUGGAGGAAUUGAAGAAGAAAUUGGAACUUUUUCAAAACUAUGUGAGAAAGCGGAAAAUGGACUUGAAGGCUCACAUAGACGAGAUCGAAAUACGGAUCAGUGAGAUCCAAGAGGCGAAGGAGGAUUUCGAAGUGGAAGUGGUUACGGAAGGCGUGGAUCGAUUGACGGGCAAGAUACCUGCCGAACGAUUGAUCAGGUGAUUGCGCGUGUGAUCGGAACGUUGCAACGUGUUGCGAAUGCGUUUUUUUUUACGCGUGGGAUCUCGCGAAGAUUCAUCGAGGAAUGGCUGAAAUCGGCGAGCACGAUACUGGAGAGGCUGAGAUUGAAGACGGCCACUGUAAAGCUUCAGAUCAAAAGGGCCAGACUGCAGCUUGCACAGAGGAAAGAGCUCGGCGAGAUACUUCACGUCAUCGAUUUCGAGAAAUUGAAGAUCGAGAAUCAGGAUUUCGCAAAGUUGCUCGAGGCGAAGAAUCUUUAUGUGAUCGAUAUGAAGAAGAUCGCAGGUGAUUAAUCGGGGGAGAGAGAUCUGUUACGAGAUCUGUUGAAUAACUAUAUUUU
rnacentral:misc_RNA from 1 species